rnacentral:rRNA from 1 species
CCUACGGGCGGCAGCAGUGAGGAAUAUUGGUCAAUGGGCGCUAGCCUGAACCAGCCAAGUCGCGUGAGGGAAGACGGUCCUAUGGAUUGUAAACCUCUUUUGUCGGGGAGCAAAAAGGCCUCGUGAGGCCACAAGUGAGAGUACCCGAAGAAAAAGCAUCGGCUAACUCCGUGCCAGCAGCCGCGGUAAUACGGAGGGUGCGAGCGUUAAUCGGAAUUACUGGGCGUAAAGCGCUCGUAGGCGGUAUGUCAAGUCAAGGGUGAAAUCCCCGCGCUCAACGUGGGAACUGCCUUUGAAACUGGCAAACUGGAGUGUGUGAGAGGAUAGUGGAAUUCCAGGUGUAGGAGUGAAAUCCGUAGAUAUCUGGAGGAACAUCAGUGGCGAAGGCGACUAUCUGGCACAUAACUGACGCUGAGGAGCGAAAGCGUGGGUAGCAAACAGGAUUAGAUACCCUUGUAGUC